AAAGACGGAUUAGGAAACAGGAAGGCUGGAGUCUAGGACUGGUGGUAGCCCUGCCACGUGAAGCAACCCUGUCUGCCAAAGGGGAGAAAGAGGCAGAUAAAAUAGCUGUUGCACCAGAAGUAAGGGCUCCACUUGGGGAGAUGCUGGCUUCUCCAAGGACUAGGGAUGGAGGCGUCUGGGAUGUCGGGGUUCAGCUGAAGUACAAGUCAAAAAGACCCUAAGAAACCAGCCCUGGAUGAAUCGUCAUCUGGGAAGCAGCCCCAUGUUCAGCCUCUCACCGCUGGGCCUGAUGCGUGAGAUACAUCAUCAACAUCGUGAAGCGUUUAUUCAGCAUGUAUUGGCACGUGGUACUAGGCUCCGCUCAGAUCAAAGAGAACAGUCUAGACCCAGCCCUGUCCCAACUGUACCUUACAACACACACAGGGUAAUAAUGAUCUCCGUCAGUGCUGUGGUC